GACGAACGCUGGCGGCGUGCCUAACACAUGCAAGUCGUGCGAGAAAGUUCCUUCGGGAGCGAGUAAAGCGGCGCACGGGUGAGUAACACGUAGGUAACCUGCCCCCCAGUCUGGAACAACUAGAGGAAACUCUAGCUAAUGCCGGAUGAGACCACGAUCCCUUCGGGGGUUGCGGCCAAAGAUGGCCUCUACUUGUAAGCUAUCGCUGAGGGAUGGGCCUGCGGCCAUUAGCUUGUUGGUGAGGUAACGGCUCACCAAGGCUGUGAUGGCUAGCUGGUCUGAGAGGAUGACCAGCCACACUGGGACUGAGACACGGCCCAGACUCCUACGGGAGGCAGCAGUGGGGAAUAUUGCGCAAUGGGCGAAAGCCUGACGCAGCGACGCCGCGUGGGUGAUGAAGGCC
rnacentral:rRNA from 1 species